rnacentral:rRNA from 1 species
CGACCGGCGCACGGGUGCGUAACGCGUAUGCAACCUACCCAUAACAGGGGGAUAACACUGAGAAAUUGGUACUAAUACCCCAUAACAUCAGGACCGGCAUCGGUUCUGGUUGAAAACUCCGGUGGUUAUGGAUGGGCAUGCGUUGUAUUAGCUGGUUGGUGAGGUAACGGCUCACCAAGGCAACGAUACAUAGGGGGACUGAGAGGUUAACCCCCCACACUGGUACUGAGACACGGACCAG